UCGUCGCAGUCUCUCGCUUCGACUUUCCGUGACGUACGUAAAGACGGUACUUAUUCAAUAUUUGCAAUGAUCAUGGCAGCUUGUCAUUUUGCUUUCUGCAGUCUUACGGACUCUAGUACUUUUUUAUUAUAUUAUAUCCACCAACUUUUUUCCACCUUUUUUGGUAUGUUUUUUAUUUAAAAUUCAUUCAAAUACGACUUUAAUGAAAAAUAACGAUUGAACAAUAACACAAUUACCUUAAAAAUUUUACUUGGCACGCUUGAAUAAACACAUGAUGGAAAGCAGAGAGGAUACGUUAUUUAUAACUUUUUGCGCAAGGUAUAAUAAUUUUUUAAGUGAUCACCUCAUCAAACUUUAUCAUUCUUCAGGGUGAAGGAAGAACCGAAUCGACACUUGACCAGAUGCAAGCGAAUAUUAUAUUAUAAAUUCGGUGGACUCUAACGAAACUAAAAACUUUGAAACAUUCAUUUUUAAUAAAUCACGA